AAGUACCGUGAGGGAAAGGUGAAAAGAACCCCGGAAGGGGAGUGAAAUAGAAACUGAAACCGUAUGCUUACAAAAAGUUCGAGCCCGUUAAUGGGUGAGAGCGUGCCUUUUGCAGAAUGAACCGGCGAGUUAUUGUAUUAUGCAAGGUUAAGUCGAACAGAUGGAGCCGAAGCGAAAGCGAGUCUGAAUAGGGCGCUUAAGUAUGAUGCAAUAGACCCGAAACCGAGUGAUCUAGCCAUGAGCAGGUUGAAGUUGGGGUAAGACCCAAUGGAGGACCGAACCGAUAUGCCCGGAAACGCGUACGGAUGACUUGUGGUUAGCGGAGAAAUUCCAAACGAACUCGGAGAUAGCUGGUUCUCCCCGAAAUAGGUUUAGGCCUAGCCUUGAUUGAAUCUGCCCGGAGGUAGAGCACUGAAUGUGCGAUGGCGUCGUCUAGAUGUACUGAGUACAAUCAAACUCCGAAUGCUGGGUAGUACUAAUCAGGAGUCACUGUAUGGGUGAUAACGUCCAUACGGGAGAGGAAAACAAUCCGGAUCGCCAGCUAAGGUCCCAAAAUUUGUGUUAAGUGGGAAAGGAUGUAGAGUUGUCAAAACAGCUAGGAGGUUGGCUUAGAAGCAGCCACCCUUUAAAGAGUGCGUAAUAGCUCACUAGUCGAGUGACACUGCGCCGAAGAUGUACCGGGGCUAAACACAAUACCGAAGCUGCGGACUUGCACGUAAGUGUAAGUGGUAGGGGAGCGUUCUAAGGGCGUUGAAGGUAGACCGUGAGGACUAUUGGAGCGCUUAGAAGUGAGAAUGCCGGUGUGAGUAACGAAAAUUGGGUGAGAAUCCCAUUCACCGUUUGACUAAGGUUUCCUGGGUAAAGUUCGUCUUCCCAGGGUUAGUCAGGACCUAAGAUGAGGCUGAAAAGCGUAGUCGAUGGACAACAGGUUUAUAUUCCUGUACCACCUAUGUAACUGAUGGAGUGACGGAGAAAGCUAAUGAGAGCCAGUUAUUGGAUUCUGGUCUAAGUGCGUAGGCUAGUAUGUUGGCAAAUCCGCAAUACUAUAAUAGCUGAAACAUGAUGGGGAAGUGAUCCUUCGGGUGAGCAAACUUUCAUGAUGCUACGCUUCCAAGAAAAGCUUCUAGGGCUAAUUGCAUAGGUGCCUGUACCGACAACCGACACAGGUGGUCAAGGAGAGUAUCCUAAGGUGAGCGAGAGAACUAUGGUUAAGGAACUCGGCAAAAUGACCCCGUAACUUCGGGAGAAGGGGUGGUCUAGCGAUAGACCCGCAGUGAAUAGGCCCAGGCAACUGUUUACCAAAAACACAGGUCUCUGCUAACACGAAAGUGGAUGUAUAGGGGCUGACGCCUGCCCAGUGCUGGAAGGUUAAAGAGAUUAGUUAGUAUGACGUAAGUCGAUAAUACGAAGCUUUGAACUGAAGCCCCAGUGAACGGCGGCCGUAACUAUAACGGUCCUAAGGUAGCGAAAUUCCUUGUCAGGUAAGUUCUGACCCGCACGAAAGGCGUAAUGAUCUGGGUACUGUCUCAACCAUAGACUCGGUGAAAUCUUAAUACCUGUGAAAAUGCAGGUUACCCGCGACUGGACGGAAAGACCCCGUGGAGCUUUACUGUAGCUUGAUAUUGGGAUUCGGUAAAUUAUGUAGAGCAUAGGUGGGAGACUAUGAGAUUAAGGCGCCAGCCUUAAAGGAGUCACCAUUGGAAUACCACCCUUAGUUUAUUGAAUUUCUAACCUAGGACCAUGAUCUGGUUCAGGGACAGUGUCUGGUGGGCAGUUUGACUGGGGCGGUCGCCUCCUAAAAUGUAACGGAGGCGUU
rnacentral:rRNA from 1 species